rnacentral:rRNA from 1 species
GUGCCAGCAGCCGCGGUAAUACGGAGGGGGUUAGCGUUGUUCGGAAUUACUGGGCGUAAAGCGCGCGUAGGCGGAUUAGAAAGUUGGGGGUGAAAUCCCGGGGCUCAACCCCGGAACUGCCUCCAAAACUGCUAGUCUAGAGUUCGAGAGAGGUGAGUGGAAUUCCGAGUGUAGAGGUGAAAUUCGUAGAUAUUCGGAGGAACACCAGUGGCGAAGGCGGCUCACUGGCUCGAUACUGACGCUGAGGUGCGAAAGUGUGGGGAGCAAACAGGAUUAGAUACCCUGGUAGUCCACACCGUAAACGAUGAAUGCCAGUCGUCGGAUAGUAUACUAUUCGGUGACACACCUAACGGAUUAAGCAUUCCGCCUGGGGAGUACGGUCGCAAGAUUAAAACUCAAA